CCUACGGGAGGCAGCAGUGGGGAAUUUUGGACAAUGGGCGCAAGCCUGAUCCAGCCAUUCCGCGUGCAGGAUGAAGGCCCUCGGGUUGUAAACUGCUUUUUCACGAGCUUCGGUACCGUAAGAAUAAGCACCGGCUAACUACGUGCCAGCAGCCGCGGUAAUACGUAGGGUGCAAGCGUUAAUCGGAAUUACUGGGCGUAAAGCGUGCGCAGGCGGUUAUGUAAGACAGGUGUGAAAUCCCCGGGCUUAACCUGGGAACUGCAUUUGUGACUGCAUAGCUAGAGUACGGUAGAGGGGGAUGGAAUUCCGCGUGUAGCAGUGAAAUGCGUAGAUAUGCGGAGGAACACCGAUGGCGAAGGCAAUCCCCUGGCCGUACUGACGCUCAUGCACGAAAGCGGGGGAGCAAACAGGAUUAGAUACCUUGUAGUC
rnacentral:rRNA from 1 species